rnacentral:rRNA from 1 species
ACGGCUCAGUAACACGUGGAUAACCUGCCCUUGGGUCCGGCAUAACCCCGGGAAACUGGGGAUAAUUCCGGAUAACGCAUAUAUGCUGGAAUGCUUUCUGCGUAAAAUGGAUUCGUCUGCCCAAGGAUGGGUCUGCGGCCUAUCAGGUAGUAGUGGGUGUAAUGUACCUACUAGCCUACGACGGGUACGGGUUGUGAAAGCAAGAGCCCGGAGAUGGAUUCUGAGACAUGAAUCCAGGCCCUACGGGGCGCAGCAGGCGCGAAAACUUUACAAUGCGGGAAACCGUGAUAAGGGGACACCGAGUGCCAGCAUCAUAUGCUGGCUGUCCGGGUGUGUAAAAUACACCUGUUAGCAAGGGCCGGGCAAGACCGGUGCCAGCCGCCGCGGUAACACCGGCGGCCCGAGUGGUGAUCGUGAUUAUUGGGUCUAAAGGGUCCGUAGCCGGUUUGGUCAGUCCUCCGGGAAAUCUGACAGCUUAACUGUUAGGCUUUCGGAGGAUACUGCCAGACUUGGAACCGGGAGAGGUAAGAGGUACUACAGGGGUAGGAGUGAAAUCUUGUAAUCCCUGUGGGACCACCUGUGGCGAAGGCGUCUUACCAGAACGGGUUCGACGGUGAGGGACGAAAGCUGGGGGCACGAACCGGAUUAGAUACCCGGGUAGUCCCAGCCGUAAACGAUGCUCGCUAGGUGUCAGGCAUGGCGCGACCGUGUCUGGUGCCGCAGGGAAGCCGUGAAGCGAGCCACCUGGGAAGUACGGCCGCAAGGCUGAAACUUAAAGGAAUUGGCGGGGGAGCAC